AUACGGAGGAUCCGAGCGUUAUCCGGAUUUAUUGGGUUUAAAGGGUGCGCAGGCGGCCAUUUAAGUCAGCGGUUAAAUCGUGGGGCUCAACCCCAUUCUGCCGUUGAUACUGGGUGGCUUGAUUGCGGUCGAGGUUGGCGGAAUUCGUUGUGUAGCGGUGAAAUGCAUAGAUAUGACGAAGAACACCGAUUGCGUAGGCAGCUGACCAGACCGCAAAUGACGCUCAUGCACGAAAGUGCGGGGAUCGAACGGGAUUAGAUACCCUGGUAGUCCGCACAGUAAACGAUGAAUACUUGUUUUCGGCGAUAUAAUGUCGGAGGCAAAGCGAAAGCGAUAAGUAUUCCACCUGGGGAGUACGCCGGCAACGGUGAAACUUAAAGGAAUUGACGGGG
rnacentral:rRNA from 1 species